rnacentral:rRNA from 1 species
AUUGAACGCUGGCGGCAUGCUUUACACAUGCAAGUCGAACGGCAGCGCGGGCUUCGGCCUGGCGGCGAGUGGCGAACCGGUGAGUAAUACAUCGGAACGUGCCCAGUAGUGGGGGAUAGCUCGGCGAAAGCCGGAUUAAUACCGCAUACGACCUGAGGGUGAAAGCGGGGGAUCUUCGGACCUCGCGCUAUUGGAGCGGCCGAUGGCAGAUUAGCUAGUUGGUGGGGUAAAGGCCUACCAAGGCGACGAUCUGUAGCUGGUCUGAGAGGACGACCAGCCACACUGGGACUGAGACACGGCCCAGACUCCUACGGGAGGCAGCAGUGGGGAAUUUUGGACAAUGGGCGAAAGCCUGAUCCAGCAAUGCCGCGUGUGUGAUGAAGGCCUUCGGGUUGUAAAGCACUUUUGGCGGGAACGAAAAGGACUGUGCCAAUACCACGGUUCGAUGACGGUACCCGCAGAAUAAGCACCGGCUAACUACGUG